AGCAGCCGCGGUAAUUCCAGCUCCAAUAGCGUAUAUUAAAGUUGUUGCAGUUAAAAAGCUCGUAGUUGAAUUUCGGGAUCAAUAUAUCGGUCGUGCCUUGGUACGUACUGGUAUCAUUGGUUUCUCCUUUCUGACGAACCAUGAUGUCAUUAAUUUGGUGUUAUGGGAAGUUAGGACUGUUACUUUGAAAAAAUUAGAGUGUUUAAAGCAGGCUUUAGCUUGAAUACAUUAGCAUGGAAUAAUGAAAUAGGACGUUCGAACCUAUUUUGUUGGUUUCUAGGAUCAACGUAGUGAUUAAUAGGGAUAGUUGGGGGCAUUAGUAUUCAAUUGUCAGAGGUGAAAUUCUUGGAUUUAUUGAAGACUAACUACUGCGAAAGCAUUUGCCAAGGAUGUUUUCAUUAAUCAAGGACGAAAGUUAGGGGAUCGAAGACGAUCAGAUACCGUCGUAGU
rnacentral:rRNA from 1 species